GGUUCCGUAGGUGAACCUGCGGAAGGAUCAUUACCGAGUGAGGGCCCUCUGGGUCCAACCUCCCACCCGUGUCUAUCGUACCUUGUUGCUUCGGCGGGCCCGCCGUUUCGACGGCCGCCGGGGAGGCCUUGCGCCCCCGGGCCCGCGCCCGCCGAAGACCCCAACAUGAACGCUGUUCUGAAAGUAUGCAGUCUGAGUUGAUUAUCGUAAUCAGUUAAAACUUUCAACAACGGAUCUCUUGGUUCCGGCAUCGAUGAAGAACGCAGCGAAAUGCGAUAAGUAAUGUGAAUUGCAGAAUUCAGUGAAUCAUCGAGUCUUUGAACGCACAUUGCGCCCCCUGGUAUUCCGGGGGGCAUGCCUGUCCGAGCGUCAUUGCUGCCCUCAAGCACGGCUUGUGUGUUGGGCCCCCGUCCCCCUCUCCCGGGGGACGGGCCCGAAAGGCAGCGGCGGCACCGCGUCCGGUCCUCGAGCGUAUGGGGCUUUGUCACCUGCUCUGUAGGCCCGGCCGGCGCCAGCCGACACCCAACUUUAUUUUUCUAAGGUUGACCUCGGAUCAGGUAGGGAUACCCGCUGAACUUAAGCAUAUCA
rnacentral:misc_RNA from 1 species